CUGCCAAUCUCACUUAGGAAGCUGUGUCUCCAAGUGGGCAGAUAAUGACCUAGGAGACCAGCAGCACAGUGCUUUGAGACCGUGUCCUGCUAGAAAAGGAGCGUGAGAAGAAUGCUUUAUUAGAGACGCUACUCCAAACGCAGGGAGAGCUAACAGAAGCCUGCCAGCAGCUAGAGCAGCUCAGGCAGGACCUGAAAAAGCAGCAAGAGAAUGGGCAGAACAUCACAGAAAAGCUGCAAGCAGAGCUGCAGCAAACUCGGAGUAAGAUCAAGGCAGUGGAGAAGAGGCACAAGGAAGAAAUCAAAACCAUCAAAGACGAAAAGAAUGUUCUUCUUCAGCAGAGGGAUGCUCUGCAAAAACAGGUGACUGAGACAGCAGUAG